AUGAACUGAUUUUUUUUCAGUUGCCAUACCUUGGUCUUUGUGCUGAGUUCUAUGCAGGCAUUCAUUGAGCCAUCCGUGACCAAACUUGAUUGUAUACACACUUGCAUACAAAACUCAUGCCAAAUUCUGCUCUCAUGUUUCCUCUCCUGACAGCAAGUUUGCUUUGGUAUCCAGACUUUCCCUUUCAGCCAAACGUUCAUCCCUUCUCAGAAGCAGAAGGAAACUGAAUUUCCUCUCCCCUAUGUUUACGACUGAGGUGACUUGGUGGACCUGAAUGGACACUUUCCAAAGAAGACAUACAAAUGAACAACAGACGGCCCAUGAUGUUGCAGAGAGAACAGCUGCACACACUAUACAUCUUGGCUGCACUGGAACAGGCUUCUCGGGAAGGAGAAUUGGAUGCCAGAGCCCUUGAAUUGCACGAUGGCUGAUCUCGGAAGAAGAAGAGGAGGUUGCCUCCACUCAGCCCCGCUCCAUCAAGCUCCUCACCUCUGUGCACAAGCCACCAGCCCUCCCUGGCAGGCGCUCACUUCUUCAGCCUGAUUGGGAUGCAGGCGCUGUUCUGAGCCUGCUCUUUGGGCAUGUUUUAUUUCCUACCGCUACGGCCAACCCAUCACUGAAUUUACUCUGAAAUGAGAAGGGGCUAAUGGAUUUGAUGACUCUGGAUAAGUCGUGUAUCCUUGAAGAUGCUAUUUUCAGGAAAGAGUCUCAUGUCUGCAAUAUGUUAGGAUGCUGGUUGUUUUGUGGCCUCUUCACUCUGCGGUGGGAACUCUGCUCCAGCUGGGCAACCGUGCGACUGGGCUGAAGAGACAAGGGUAGAAGAAAAAGCAGGCUGAGAAUGCAUAGAAGCUUAACAUCUCUGGAUGACCUGAUGACUAAUGCAGAUAUUCACGAGGGGGAAACUGAGCUCAGAGAGAUGACAUGAGGCAAAAAGUUUAUGGCAAAAGAGUAAUGAAGAUAAAGGACUCCUGGGACUUGAUCUAGUUUUCAGUAUUUAAUUUUCAAGAGCAAAUAUAUUC